rnacentral:lncRNA from 1 species
CUGACAGAUGCACACCAUCUUUGAAUAAGAAAUCAAACAACUUUACAAGGAUUGAGUGCAGGCUCACAGCUGUGCAGACAUUCAAAUGAAUACAUUGCAGAAGAAGAAAUAGCGUUCCACCACAGAAUAUGGGAUAAUAACUACAGACCACGUAUAUUGAUCUUACACAAAGAUGAGCUUGAAGCCUACAGGUAAUGGAUGAGGACUUCAAAGCACCCAGCUGUAGCCCAAACUGAUCAGCAUAGGAAAAAGCAGGGAAUUACGUGAAAGUGUCAAUAUCCAGUGCUCAUAGGUCCUGAACUCAUAUUCAGCACCUAAUUUUAGGAUGGUAAAUUUGUCAGAGUGCUCUAAUUAAGGAGCAGAAGACACCAGUUCCAUGUACUUCUUUAAAAGACCCAGAACAAGAUCUCACGCAUCACUUACCCUCUUUACAUCAACAGAGCUUGGCAGGGGCUCAUAGAAAGUCUGACCUUGACUCUGGAGUGCUGAUUUUGGGGUGAUUUACUGGGGAAGAUAAAGGGGUCCCCUAGCAACCCACUGAAUGUGACAGAUGCUCCUGACAUGCUGGGGAAGAGCCGUGCCAUUCUGCAGUGCCCUUCUUCCCCCCCGCCCCCACUUUAAACUCAUCUGACCCCUUUCUGGUUCAAUUCUUUUACAUAUCCCUGUAUUUUAUUGUAGAAUCCGAGCGGCUACACCAACCACUCAAGCUUCACUGCCUGUCUAAUUAAAGUCUCUCCGUCAACUGGUAAUUCUGUAAUAAUUCACAGAUGGUUUUGCUCUCUAUUAAACCUGUUAUGUUCCCUGGCUGAAAAAGGCUGUGACGUCUUAAAAAGUAUCGACAGCUAUUAAUUUGUUUGCAUUUAAAAUCCAGUAUGUGGCUGCAAAGGCCUGUUACAGUAUCACAGAGGAAGAUAAAUGUCAGUGCAUAAUCUGCUAG